UACGAAGGGGGCAAGCGUUGUUCGGAAUUACUGGGCGUAAAGGGCGCGUAGGCGGCUUACCAAGUCAGGCGUGAAAUUCCCGGGCUCAACCUGGGGGCUGCGCUUGAUACUGGUGAGCUUGAAUGCGGGAGAGGAUAGUGGAAUUCCCAGUGUAGAGGUGAAAUUCGUAGAUAUCGGGAGGAACACCAGUGGCGAAGGCGGCUUUCUGGGCAUUUCCUGACGCUGAGACGCGAAAGCGUGGGGAGCGAACCGG
rnacentral:rRNA from 1 species